GUCACUGAAGCGCAAUGGGUAGCGUAUUGGACUUCUAAUCCAAAGGUCAUGGUUUCGAAUCCCAUCUGAGAUG